rfam:Asian citrus Psyllid, Diaphorina citri - Florida Strain, whole genome shotgun sequence.
GCUCCCAUGGCGUAGUGGUCACUUCACUCGCCUUGCACGCGGGAGACCCGGGUUCGAUUCCCGGCGGGGUCA